rnacentral:sRNA from 1 species
ACUCCUAAGGCUCAGGGAACACUGAAGAAGCUGGGACAGGGGAGGAGAGCAGAAACAUGGAAACAUCCAGGGGAUGGAGUUUGCUGUGUGAUUAUGUCUCCUAUAUUAGAAAUUUCAUCUAUAAAGUCUCAACAACAUUACUGCUUAAAGGAUGGGGCUUAGAGAUCUUGAUUGAGGAAUUACAGAAGAUCAAGUUUCCUGGCAUGGAGUUGUGGUGACUGGAAGAGGAUGAACAAGGAGUGAUGCUGGGAAUGAAGCUUCCAAAGAAGUUUCAGAUAGAAAUCAAGACUGCUUUGAUGCACCUACGUAAUUUGAAUAACUUCUCCUCUUCUUUUCUUCAUCUUGAAUACAAGGUAGCUCAGAAUGCUAUUUUUUAUUUAA